rnacentral:misc_RNA from 1 species
GAUGAAGAACGCAGCGAAAUGCGAUAAUUAGUGUGAAUUGCAGAAUUCAGUGAAUCAUCGAAUCUUUGAACGCACAUUGCGCCCCUUGGUAUUCCAUGGGGCAUGCCUGUUCGAGCGUCAUUUGUACCUUCAAGCUUUGCUUGGUGUUGGGUGUUUGUCUCGCCUUUGCGUGUAGACUCGCCUUAAAAUAAUUGGCAGCCGGCGUAUUGAUUUCGGAGCGCAGUACAUCUCGCGCUUUGCACUCAUAACGACAGCGUCCAAAAGUACAUUUUACACUCUUGACCUCGGAUCAGGUAGGGAUACCCGCUGAACUUAAGCAUAUCAAUAAGCGGAGGA